rnacentral:ncRNA from 1 species
AGGAGCCGUGUGAAGCGAAAGUUUCACGCACGGUUUUGAAGACGAGCAGGCGGGGUGACUCGCUUGCUUAGUUUAAC